rnacentral:rRNA from 15 species
UACGGCGGCCAUAGCGGCAGGGAAACGCCCGGUCCCAUUCCGAACCCGGAAGCUAAGCCUGCCAGCGCCGAUGGUACUGCACUCGUGAGGGUGUGGGAGAGUAGGUCACCGCCGAAC